rnacentral:rRNA from 1 species
AUGAGGGUCAAGUGCACUGAGAAGCGCAAGGUGAACCCCUACUGCUUCAACCGGAACAUGGACUGCCCCGCCAACUGCCCCCAGUCCUGCUACCCCGACUGCAACACAUGCAAACCCGUCUGCGUCUGCAACACCCCCGGAGCAUGCGGCGACCCGCGGUUCAUCGGUGGUGACGGCAACGCCUUCUACUUCCACGGACGCAGGGACGCCGACUUCUGCGUCGUCUCCGACCGCGACCUUCACAUCAACGCGCACUUCAUCGGCAAGAGCGGCCACAGCGGCAUGUCCCGGGACUUCACCUGGAUCCAGGCCAUUGCCGUGCUCUUCGACGGCCACCGCCUCUACCUCGGUGCCAGGAAGACCGGCACCUGGGACGACGCCGUCGAGCACCUGGACAUCACCCUCGACGGCGAGCAUGCGACCAACGGCGUCCUCGUCGCCGUCGCCGGAAAGUUCAGCGUCAGGGCCAACGCCGUGCCCAUCACCGGGGAGGAAUCGAGGGUGCACCGCUACGGCGUCACCGCCGAUGACUGCCUCGCGCACCUCGAGCUGGCGUUCAAGUUCGACGCCCUCACCGACGACGUCCACGGUGUGGUCGGACAGACGUACCGCUCCGACUACGUGAACCAUUUCGACGUGAGGGCAUCCAUGCCCACCAUGGGAGGAGAUGCCACCUUCACCACCUCCAGCCUGUUCGCCGCCGACUGCAGCGUGGCGCGCUAUGGAGUCAGCCGUGGAAACGACGGUGCCGCGGUGCAAUCUGAGCUCGCUGGUACUGUCACCUGCGCCAGUGGCAUGGACGGCAAGCGUGUGAUGUGCAAGAAGUAA